UACAGAGGGUGCGAGCGUUUGUUCGGAAUUACUGGGCGUAAAGCGCGCGCAGGCGGCUUCUUAAGUCCAUCGGUGAAAUGCCGGGGCUCAACCCCGAGUGUGCCGAGGAUACUGGGAGGCUGGAGACGAGUAGAGGCAAGCGGAAUUCCGGGUGUAGCGGUGGAAUUCGUAGAUAUUCGGAAGAACACCAGUGGCGAAGGCGGCUCACUGGCCCGGUAC
rnacentral:rRNA from 1 species